GGCCAAUUACAGCGGGGAGGCUGGGGGUGGGGUGUGGCAGGGGUGCGCGGGGCAUGCAUGGGUGGAGGCGGCAGGAGGCGCGCGUGGUCCUGGAUGUUGCGCUGCGCACACCACUUCCAUGACAAUGGGAGAUCUGAUGGUUCGUUAUCAUUGGUAGGGUUGGGGGAGGGCCUCCUUUUUUCUGUCUCUAUAGAUUCAGGUGGAGUGGUGCUCAGAGGGUCUCGAGGAGGUUUCGGGAUGCUGGCCUGGUCCCACAGGAUGUCAAUGUUCUGCUCAUACAUCUUGCUGGCUAGUGCUGUGUCAAUUUUU
rnacentral:lncRNA from 1 species